UUAUGCAUUCUCUGGGGAAAGGGGACUCCCACUCUUGCAUGAGUGGGCUUUCUGCUCCUACUUUGGGGGUAGGAGCUCCCUGUUCUGCAAGGAGGGGUGGUAGUCGGAAGGGGACCGACAGGCACUCCCGAGGCAGCUGCUCCCCAGGCUGGAGGACCGGACUGCUGCACACUGCCAUCCAGAAUAGCGCUCCCCUCGAAUACCUUCAGGGAUGGGGACACCAUAUUCCGGAGAAGGAAGGCGAGGAGCUCAGAUUACAGGUUCCAUGGAAGCAGGGACCUCAUCUGUCUUGUCAGUGCUAUAUUCCCAGGAUCUAGAACAAAAGCCAGCUCACAGUAGGUUCUCAAAUAUUUGCGAAAGUGAAUUCCCUUGCCAUGGAACCCUGCCCUAGGCUAGGCCCCUCAGACUAGAAGGGCCCAUAGCUCACAACUACAGGACAGAGACAGCUCCAGCAGAGGAAUAAGAAAGAAUCUCUACCCCAGCCUGUCCUGCCAGGCUCAUUUCAGCAACCAGCCCUGCAAUACCUUCACCUUGAAGGCUUGGAGAGGUCUGGCUUGUAGGGGUUGGGGGCCUGCUCAGAGCAAGGCUCAGAGAUCUGGGGCACAGCCCCCUUUUUGCCAGAAGAGGGCUUUUUGGCCACUAGCCCAUUAUCAUCCUUGAUCUUCUUGAGCCGGGCCUUGCUCUUUGGUGGUAUGGAGAAGGUGAGAGAGCUCUUGUUGAAUUCAAGUGGAAAGACACCUACGUUUCCAUCAAAGCGGUUCUUGGACACCUGCAGAUACCGUUUCCCUGGCCCAGUUACCAGCUUCCUGUCCUGUAGGAUCAGAACAUUGUCUGCUUCCUGGCUUGCCUGGGGGAAUAAGGGGCAGAAGGAGGAAGGAGCAGUGAGAAGACAUAUGAGAGAAGCACAAAGGAAGGUUGAAGAAGAUGUGAGUUCCUGGAGGACAAAAAGGGCAAAGGACCAGCCAUUAUCAGCCUUUGUAUUCUAGCACGUGUAUUCCUUAUGUCAUGGCCCCAGAGGCAGCUGCCUCCUGCCUGUUCCAGAUGAACAGUCAAGAUGAUUUACGGCUGAAUGAAGUCUGACCCUGGUCACACCUGCCCCCCUUUACUCUCCAUAGCUUGAGCUCCUCUAAAGCCCACUCACUUUGGCUGAGCCAAAAAUGGAUGCUGUCUGUAGUUCUUUAUCAUCAUCCUCCUUCCGGGGGUGAAUGACCAGUGUCACAUGGCAGCUGCUCUCUGUCGCAAACUUCCGAAAGGCCCCGACGAUAUAGUCUUGAGCUGCAAUCCUGCCCAACAAAGCAAAGAGGUUACCAGACACAGAGUGACAAGAACAAACACAUACUCCUGAUUUGUUCACACACAGAGUGACAAGAACAAACACAUACUUCUGAUUUGUUCACAUCUCCCCACAAACCACCACAACCUCACUCUACUUCCCUCUACCCAAGGACUCACACUUAAGUCCC